AAGACCUUGCACUUUUGGAGCGGCCGAUGUCUGAUUAGCUAGUUGGUGGGGUAAUGGCCUACCAAGGCUUCGAUCAGUAGCUGGUCUGAGAGGACGGCCAGCCACACUGGGACUGAGACACGGCCCAGACUCCUACGGGAGGCAGCAGUGGGGAAUUUUGGACAAUGGGCGCAAGCCUGAUCCAGCCAUGCCGCGUGAGUGAAGAAGGCCUUCGGGUUGUAAAGCUCUUUCAGCCGGGAAGAAAAGGUUGCGACUAAUAAUCGCAAUCCAUGACGGUACCGAAAGAAGAAGCACCGGCUAACUACGUGCCAGCAGCCGCGGUAAUACGUAGGGUGCGAGCGUUAAUCGGAAUUACUGGGCGUAAAGGGUGCGCAGGCGGUUUUGUAAGUCAGAUGUGAAAUCCCCGGGCUUAACCUGGGAAACU
rnacentral:rRNA from 1 species